AUGGGGCACGGAGCCAGCUGCGGCCGCCCCAGCGAGGAGGUGGACUUCUUCGGCGCGGCACAGUCCGGCGACCUCGCCCGCCUCUCCGCCGCCGUCAGCUCCCGCCCCUCCCUCCUCCGCCGCACCACGCUCUUCGACCGCCUCUCCGCGCUCCACAUCGCCGCCGCCCACGGCCACCUCCAAGUGGUCUCCAUGGCAUUGGAUCUUUGCGUGGAGCCGGACGCCGUGAACCGCCACAAGCAGACGGCGCUGAUGCUCGCGGCGAUGCACGGGAGGACCGAGUGCGUGCGGCGGUUGCUCGACGCCGGCGCCAAUAUCCUGAUGUUCGAUUCGUCGCACGGGCGGACGUGCCUGCACUACGCGGCGUACUACGGCCACUCAGACUGCCUCCGGGCCAUCCUGACGGCGGCGCGGACCGCGCCGGUGUCGCAAUCCUGGGGAUACGCGCGGUUCGUGAAUGUGCGGGACGACACCGGAGCGACGCCGUUGCACCUGGCGGCGAGGCAGGGCUGGCGCCGCUGCGUCCACGUCCUGCUGGAGAACGGCGCCAUCGUGUCCGCCUCCAGCGGCGCCUUCGGAUUCCCCGGGAGCACGCCGCUGCAUUUGGCCGCGCGCGGCGGGAGCCUCGACUGCGUUCGCCAGCUGCUCUCCUGGGGCGCCGACCGCCUCCAGCGCGACUCCGUCGGGAGAAUUCCAUAUGAGGUGGCGGUGAAGCGAGGGCAUGUGGCGUGCGCGGCGCUGCUGAACCCGUCAUCGGCAGAGCCCCUAGUGUGGCCUUCGCCUCUCAAGUUCAUCAGCGAGCUGGAGCCUGACGCCAAGGCUCUCCUGGAGGCAGCCCUGAUGGAGGCCAAUCGGGAGAGGGAGAAGAGGAUCCUCAAAGGGGCCAAGAAUUCAUUGCCAUCGCCGUCGCGUUCAGAUGACGGUGCCACCGUCUCCGAGGUCGUGCAGGGCGGCGAGGUGUGCAGCAUCUGCUUCGACCAGGCGUGCGCGAUCGAGGUCCGGGAGUGCGGGCACCAGAUGUGCGCGGCGUGCACGCUGGCGCUCUGCUGCCACGCCAAGCCCAACCCGGCCACGCAGAGCCAGCCGCUGCCCACAUGCCCCUUCUGCCGCGGCGGCAUCACCCGGCUGGCGGUGGCCACCAGGGCCAAGGCCGGCGACGACGACGACGAGGAGGAAGGAGCAGAAGGCAGGCUGGAGUCUCCGCGGCACCGGCGGUCUCGCCGGUCCCUGAACCUCAGCGGCGGCGGCGACGGGGGCAGCAGCAGCAGCAGCCUCAUGGGCAGCAUCGCCUCGUCCAUCGGCAAGAUGGGCCGGCGCAAAACCGACAGCAGCGAGCUGCAGGUGCAGCUCGACGACAAGCCAUAG
rnacentral:rRNA from 1 species